GACGACGCUGGCGGCAGGCCUAACACAUGCAAGUCGAACGAGUGGCGGACGGGUGAGUAAUGUCUGGGAAACUGCCUGAUGGAGGGGGAUAACUACUGGAAACGGUAGCUAAUACCGCAUACCAUCAGAUGUGCCCAGAUGGGUUUAGCGUGUUGGUGGGGUAACGGCUCACCAAGGCGACGAUCCCUAGCUGGUCUGAGAGGAUGAUCAGUCACACUGGAACUGCGACACGGUCCAGACGCCUCCGGGAGGCAGCAGUGGGGAAUAUGGGACAAUGGGCGAAAGCCUGAUCCAGCCAUGCCGCGGGUGUGAAGAAGGUCUUCGGAUUGUAAAGCACUUUAAGUUGGGAGGCGUUACCAACAGAAUAAGCACCGGCUAACUUCGGGCCAGCAGCCGGUAAUUC
rnacentral:rRNA from 1 species